GACAGCAGUCGCCACGGUAAUACGGAAGGUCCAGGCGUUAUCCGGAUUUAUUGGGUUUGAAGGGAGCGUAGGCGGAUUAUUAAGUCAGUGGUGAAAGACGGUGGCUCAACCAUCGUUAGCCAUUGAAACUGGUAGUCUUGAGUGCAGACAGGGAUGCUGGAACUCGUGGUGUAGCGGUGAAAUGCUUAGAUAUCACGAUGAACUCCAAUCGCGAAGGCAGGUGUCCGGGCUGCAACUGACGCUGAGGCUCGAAAGUGUGGGUAUCAAACAGGAUUAGAUACCCCAGUAGUCCCUGUCUCUUAUACA
rnacentral:rRNA from 1 species